CCUACGGGUGGCAGCAGUGGGGAAUAUUGCACAAUGGGGGGAACCCUGAUGCAGCGACGCCGCGUGGGUGAAGAAGUGUUUCGGUAUGUAAAGCUCUAUCAGCAGGGAAGAAAAAGGACGGUACCUGACUAAGAAGCCCCGGCUAACUACGUGCCAGCAGCCGCGGUAAUACGUAGGGGGCAAGCGUUAUCCGGAUUUACUGGGUGUAAAGGGAGCGUAGACGGCAGCGCAAGUCUGAAGUGAAAGCCCGGGGCUCAACCGCGGAACUGCUUUGGAAACUGUUAAGCUGGAGUACGGGAGAGGCAAGCGGAAUUCCUAGUGUAGCGGUGAAAUGCGUAGAUAUUAGGAGGAACACCAGUGGCGAAGGCGGCUUGCUGGACAGAGACUGACGUUGAGGCUCGAAAGCGUGGGGAGCAAACAGGAUUAGAUACCCGAGUAGUC
rnacentral:rRNA from 1 species